rnacentral:rRNA from 1 species
AAGCUCGUAGUUGAAUUUCGGGAUUAGUACGUCGGUCGUGCCUUAGGUACGUACUGGUGUUACUGGUUCCUACCUUCUGACGAACCAUCAUGUCAUUAAUUUGGUGUGGUGGGGAAUCAGGACAGUUACUUUGAAAAAAUUAGAGUGUUUAAAGCAGGCUCGCGCUUGAAUACAUUAGCAUGGAAUAAUGAAAUAGGACGUUGAUCCUAUUUUGUUGGUUUCUAGGAUUGACGUAAUGAUAAUAGGGAUAGUUGGG